GACGGAGGAUGCAAGUGUUAUCCGGAAUCACUGGGCGUAAAGCGUCUGUAGGUGGUUCGAAAAGUCCACUGUUAAAAAUUGAGGCUUAACUUCAAAGAUGCCGUGGAAACUUUCAAACUAGAGUAUGGUAGGGGGUAGAGGGAAUUUCCAGUGGAGCGGUGAAAUGCGUAGAUAUCGGGAAGAACACCAAAGGCGAAAGCACUUUGCUGGGCCGAAACUGACACUGAUAGACGAAAGCUAGGGGAGCAAAAUGGG
rnacentral:rRNA from 1 species